UACGGGGGGGGCAAGCGUUGUUCGGGAUUCCUGGGCGUAAAGGGCUCGUAGGGGGCCAACUAAGUCAGACGUGAAAUCCCUCGGCUUAACCGGGGAACUGCGUCUGAUACUGGAUGGCUUGAGUUUGGGAGAGGGAUGCGGAAUUCCAGGUGUAGCGGUGAAAUGCGUAGAUAUCUGGAGGAACACCGGUGGCGAAGGCGGCAUCCUGGACCAACACUGACACUGAGGAGCGAAAGCCAGGGGAGCAAACGGG
rnacentral:rRNA from 1 species